AUGGCUGUUCAUCUACCUUUAUCCUUGGAAGCUCAGGCAGAAGCCCGUUUACUUAUGUUUUCUCAUAUGAAUCUCUUAUCUCCCGCUAUUGGGGAUCCUAUUUGCGUACCAACCCAAGACAUGCUUAUCGGGCUUUAUGUAUUAACGAUUGGAAAGCGUCGAGGUAUUUGUGCAAAUAGAUAUAAUAGUUGCAGAAACUAUCCAAAUCUAAAAGUAAAUUACAAUAAUAAUAAUAAUUCUAAAUAUAGGAAAGAUAAAGAACCCCAUUUUUCUAGUUCUUAUGAUGCACUGGGAGCUUAUAGACAAAAACUAAUCAGUUUAGAUAGUCCCUUGUGGCUACGAUGGAACCUGGAUCAACGCGUCAUUGGGUCAAGAGAAGUUCCGAUUGAAGUUCAAUAUGAAUCUUUGGGGAUAUAG
rnacentral:rRNA from 1 species